rnacentral:rRNA from 1 species
UACGUAGGGUGCGAGCGUUGUCCGGAAUUAUUGGGCGUAAAGAGCUUGUAGGCGGUCUGUCGCGUCUGCUGUGAAAAUCCGGGGCUCAACCCCGGACUUGCAGUGGGUACGGGCAGACUAGAGUGCGGUAGGGGUGACUGGAAUUCCUGGUGUAGCGGUGGAAUGCGCAGAUAUCAGGAGGAACACCGGUGGCGAAGGCGGGUCUCUGGGCAACAACUGACGCUGAGGAGCGAAAGCGUGGGGAGCGAACAGG